UGCUCCGUGCUCUCCGAUUCAAAUCCUACCAUGUGCUCACCGGAACUUCAAUGGCCAGCUACGACCACUUCCCAAACCAUGAUUUAAAACAGUAUAACUUACAACUUGCUGGGAAUGAAAAGUUUUGGAGUGUCCUGAAGCCGAAUGAAGACAGACUGAAAGAAGGCAACAGCCCAAACCUCUCCAUGGGGCAA
rnacentral:lncRNA from 1 species